rnacentral:ncRNA from 1 species
AGCCCCCGUGGCGGGGUCACGCCACAUACCUCCCUGUUGGACUUGGCCGGGCCCGGUGCCCGGCUUUUUUC